rnacentral:tRNA from 1 species
GCCUUCGUGAUGGUCAGCACACUGAGCCGGUAUUUCAGAGGUCCGCGGUUCGAUUCCCGGCGAAGGCA